UUUCCAAAAAUCAAAAUUUUAGUAAGCACAAAUUCAAAAAUAUAAUUUUCAUUAAAAAAAUUAAAAUCAAAAAGCAACUGCAAACAUUUGCCAACACAAGUGCACUGUGCAGCAUUAGAGUAGUUACUUAGUAACUGGCAUACAGAGCAACAGAGUGGCGCGGCCGCCAACGCUCCAUCGUCGUCGUCGUCGCUGUUGCAUUCGCAUUGCUUUGUUGUCGCCAUAUACGACAUUUGCUUGAGAAUUUAUUUACCAGUUAUAUUUGAAUUGAAUUUGGAAAGCAAGUCACGUUCAGUAAAUGCCAUCGUCAUAAGCGCACGCAGCGCGCAGAGAAAUAGAAACACAGCAAGCGAGAAAGGAGCGACUUGGGAGCACAAAGAGUGGCGGGCAAAACGCAGUUGUUGGCUUUAAAGAGGCAGCGAAAAACCAGCAACAACAGCGCAUUGCAAGUGCAACAAACAAGCAGCUGCAAAACAAAUCCACA
rnacentral:lncRNA from 1 species